AUGACGUUUCACACACUUAUACUGUGUGUGUGGCAGAGCACGGGCAGAUAAAUGCAGACUGAUCUAUAUUAUAUUUUAUGUAUAAAGUUUUAACAUGUUAAAUACAAAAAAUCAUGUUAAGAAAUAAUGUAACGAUAUUUAAACUAUCUCUAAGAUGUUGACAUUACAAGUUUAUUAAAAAGUUUAUUUAAAAAGUGCUAAUUGAUUCCUUGCUGAAAAAGAUAAACUGAGAAGCCUUUUCUUUUUUUUCGCUGAGCUAAUUGUGGAAAGACAUGAUAGAUCUUAACAUCGGAAAAAAGCCAGAAGGUCUGCUGCAUAUGGCAAAAUUUAUCAUUUGAAGGCUAAGGAGAAAAAGUUAUCAACUGGUAAUAUGGCUGAUGUUCAAUAGUGAAGAGGUGAAGCUUAGCCUUGCAAACGCAAAAUUUGAUCUUACUUUUGAGUGGCGCAAAAGUUUCUUUUUCUAGGACGAUACAAGUGUAGCUACACUUAGCUUAGGAGGAA